AUGUGCCACCAAUCCCAGAUAAUUUUUGUAUUUUUGUAGAGAUGGGGUUUCACUAUGUUGCCCAGGCUGAUCUCCAACUCCUGGCUUCAAGUGAUCUGCCCACCUUGGCCUCCUAAAGUGCUGGGAUUACAGGCUUGAGCCACUGUGCCUAGUCAUGCAUUUCUUUACAUAAUAUAAGAAGCUCAAAAUGAGAAGCUUGGUUCCUGAAUGUCUGACAAGAAUGGAAGCAGACUGGUGUUUGAGUAACUCACAAAGAAGUUCAGAAGCCACUGCGCCAGCCACGGAGGUACACGGCUCAACUCUCCUUCCAGACAGAAGCUGCUGGGAGGAGCUCCAGCUACCACAGCAGUCAUUCUGAGGCUACGCCUUCCCCAGGCUGCUUCUAGCCAAUAACUCUGCACAGCAGGGAGACUGGAGGUGGGACAUUUCUGCCAACAUGGGACCCAUCGAAUGGCUCUCCUCUCUGGCUUGGCUAAAACAUUCUCAGAACUGUACUGUCAUCUGAGGCUCUUUGUACCCAUUCCUCCUUCCCUCUUCCUCUUUUUUUCCCAGGUGUCAGACUUACAUCAUGGCCUGGGGAUCUCACAGCCUUCACCUGCUUCCUCUCCUCUCUAUGUUUCACAGACAUUUCCCCAAUAAAUCUCAUAAAUCUCUUGUAUUUCUAAUUUUGUCUUGGAUUUGCUUCCUGGAUUACCCGGCCUGCUGCAGCUGCCAUUGUGCUAUUUUCUCUCCUUCUCCCCCGCCUCAAUUUUAUAAUGCAUAGUUUUAUAAAAAGAAAUAGCCUAUGCU
rnacentral:lncRNA from 1 species